CUGUAGAAGUACUAGCAGGUGGACUGUUACCUUUGGACUGAGCCAGGCUCUUUGCUUCCCAGUUUCCCUUCUCAUGCUAAGCUAAGCUAAGCUAAUCUAAAUGGCUGCUGGGGUUAGCUUCCAAUUUCUCACAGCAGCUGUUUGGUCGAGCUUUACCACCUACGGACAAUCCAGUCUACAACAACGUGUCAGACCAUGGCAGACUGGGAAGCAACCAGUGGACAUGAUAUAUCCCACCAGCAGAGGGCGAAGUGGUGAAUUGCUCCACAAGGUCAACAAGGCUGUAGGUGUCCUAAUCUGACUUGGAGGAAUGAGGGAUUUCAUCAGGUCCAUUUCCCAAUGACGGCAGGAGUCUUCCUCUUUGAGUCUCAUCAGCCUUCAUCUUUCUCAUCCAUUCUGCUUGAAUAUAUAUCAUUAAAUUAGAGCAUUUCUAUUUAUUCAUCAUG